CCUCCUGGCCUCCAGGACGGGGGCGGGUGGGUCCCUGCAGUUGAAGCCCUGCUGUGUGGGCCUCUGUCCCGCCUCCCUAGGGAAUGAACACGGAACGCUUUCACUGCACAUUCUAAAAUAAUUUCAAGAUCGACAGCUAGUAUUUUAAGUUACAAGAGAUGCAAACGGUUUCCGACACGCUGUGACAUGACUACGUAAAACUGCAGCUGGUGGGAACCGUGCUCAGGGUCUCGGGCGGGCUGUGGACGGUGUGGGUCGACGCCUGUCGCGUGGCUGGGCUGGGCAGGGGCUGCUUGUGAACAUGGGGGACCCCGCGCUGUUCAUUUCUCGGCCGGAAACGCGCGUUUCGUGUGCCUUGUGCUCCUGGGCCCUGACCGCAGCGUCGCCUGCGGUGUUUUGUUUCGACGGUGUGACACAACGCGGUGACGACAGAAGCCGGUGAGCGCAGACACCUGUUGGGUUUCCUGCGCUGUGAGGCCCCCUGCACGUUCAAGGGCCGCUUCUCACUAAAGGGCCGUGGAGCCAAGCGACACACGUGCCUUAUCCACGUGGAUACACAACCAUCGGGCCUAAAAGUGAAAACAGGAUUCCGGGCCGGUGCUUCCUGGACGAGGUGACCCCCGGUCACGGCGUCCUGCCCCGUUUAGGGAAGGGGACGUCCCUACCCCUCGUGCAUCUGCAGAGUCGGACCCACAGCCCACGCACGGGCCUCCUGGAGGCGGACACAGGACCCUCUGGGUUCGGGGCACCUGGGCUGAAUAAUAAGAAGGUGGCAGUUCCCCUUGUGUGGGGACCUGGGGAGCCCCAGAGUAGGAGGUGUCCUGGGCGCGGGGGUGCUUGUUUUUAUUCACCCAAACUUGGAGAGAUUGCAUUUGAACCGUAGAAGGUCUGAACACUGAUCCAAACAACUAAAUCGGACAGCGGGGGGGGGGCGAUGAGUGAAGGACUUCCAAGCGUAGGUGGCUGCGCCGUGAGGGCCCCCUUGACCCGUAGGGGAUCUGAACGUUGCUCGUCCUGAAAACAAACGUGGUGUUUGGUGACUGUCGGUUGAGGGCGGGGGGUGUGUCCACAGCCUACAAGGAAAUCGCGGAGGCCUCAGGCCUGCCUGCAAAUCUUCCCCGUGUUGUCCGACCCACGGGGUUCCCAGCUUCGAGGGCUGACUACGAGAUGACUCUGCCGGCCGGCGUGUCCGUCUGUCCCACACAAGGUCCAGCUAGCUGCACGGGCUGAGGGUACAGCGCGUGUCCUGACAGCCACGCCCAGGCCACAGUCAGUCACGGAGGCCAACGAGACCUGCGGACCGAAGCGCGUCCCAGCAGGCGGUGGUGUCAGCCUGCAGCCCGGGAGUGGUCCCUGCUUUCCAGAAACGGAAGACAUAAAGAAAGGUGUCAGCUGGCCUAGGACCGUGACGCUCAGAGCGUUAUCAGUCAGCAGAAGACGUAACAAGAAACCGUGAAGGGGUUUGCAAAUGAGGCAGCUACAGGUCCGGAUUUCUACGGCUUGAACAUGGUGCCAUAUAUAUCCGAGGCCUGACAAUUAAGUUUGCGAACUCGUCCUAGAAAAACUGCUCCAUCCCUCACUGCUGAAUGUCACCACAGUCACCUUCGAAGUCCUCCGAGCCUUGGGAAACUAUGCACCGACGCAAGCGCC